rnacentral:rRNA from 1 species
CAGGGAUUGCCCUAGUAACGGCGAGUGAAGCGGCAACAGCUCAAAUUUGAAAUCUGGCGUCUUCGGCGUCCGAGUUGUAAUUUGCAGAGGGCGCUUUGGCAUUGGCAGCGGUCCAAGUUCCUUGGAACAGGACGUCACAGAGGGUGAGAAUCCCGUACGUGGUCGCUAGCCUUUACCGUGUAAAGCCCCUUCGACGAGUCGAGUUGUUUGGGAAUGCAGCUCUAAAUGGGAGGUAAAUUUCUUCUAAAGCUAAAUACUGGCCAGAGACCGAUAGCGCACAAGUAGAGUGAUCGAAAGAUGAAAAGCACUUUGGAAAGAGAGUUAAAAAGCACGUGAAAUUGUUGAAAGGGAAGCGCUUGCAGCCAGACUUGCCUGUAGUUGCUCAUCCGGGUUUCUACCCGGUGCACUCUUCUAUAGGCAGGCCAGCAUCAGUUUGGGCGGUUGGAUAAAGGUCUCUGUCAUGUACCUCUCUUCGGGGAGAACUUAUAGGGGAGACGACAUGCAACCAGCCUGGACUGAGGUCCGCGCAUCUGCUAGGAUGCUGGCGUAAUGGCUGUAAGCGGCCCGUCUUGAAACACGGACCAAGGAGUCUAACAUCUAUGCGAGUGUUUGGGUGUCAAGCCCGAGCGCGUAAUGAAAGUGAACGGAGGUGGGAACCUUUCGGGGUGCACCAUCGACCGAUCCUGAUGUCUUCGGAUGGAUUUGAGUAAGAGCAUAGCUGUUGGGACCCGAAAGAUGGUGAACUAUGCUUGAAUAGGGUGAAGCCAGAGGAAACUCUGGUGGAGGCUCGCAGCGGUUCUGACGUGCAAAUCGAUCGUCAAAUUUGGGCAUAGGGGCGAAAGACUAAUCGAACU